CCAGACUCCUACGGGAGGCAGCAGUGGGGGAUAUUGGACAAUGGGGGAAACCCUGAUCCAGCGACGCCGCGUGAGUGAAGAAGUAUUUCGGUAUGUAAAACUCUGUCAGCAGGGAAGAAAGAAAUGACGGUACCUGACCAAGAAGCCCCGGCUAACUACGUGCCAGCAGCCGCGGUAAUACGUAGGGGGCAAGCGUUAUCCGGAUUUACUGGGUGUAAAGGGAGCGUAGACGGCGAUGCAAGUCUGAAGUGAAAGGCGGGGGCCCAACCCCCGGACUGCUUUGGAAACUGUAUGGCUGGAGUGCAGGAGAGGUAAGUGGAAUUCCUAGUGUAGCGGUGAAAUGCGUAGAUAUUAGGAGGAACACCAGUGGCGAAGGCGGCUUACUGGACUGUAACUGACGUUGAGGCUCGAAAGCGUGGGGAGCAAACAGGAUUAGAUACCCUUGUA
rnacentral:rRNA from 1 species